UAGGGAAUCUUCCGCAAUGGACGCAAGUCUGACGGAGCAACGCCGCGUGAGUGAUGAAGGUCUUCGGAUCGUAAAACUCUGUUAUUAGGGAAGAACAAAUGUGUAAGUAACUAUGCACAUCUUGACGGUACCUAAUCAGAAAGCCACGGCUAACUACGUGCCAGCAGCCGCGGUAAUACGUAGGUGGCAAGCGUUAUCCGGAAUUAUUGGGCGUAAAGCGCGCGUAGGCGGUUUUUUAAGUCUGAUGUGAAAGCCCACGGCUCAACCGUGGAGGGUCAUUGGAAACUGGAAAACUUGAGUGCAGAAGAGGAAAGUGGAAUUCCAUGUGUAGCGGUGAAAUGCGCAGAGAUAUGGAGGAACACCAGUGGCGAAGGCGACUUUCUGGUCUGUAACUGACGCUGAUGUGCGAAAGCGUGGGGAUCAAACAGG
rnacentral:rRNA from 1 species